GCCUGGGUGGCUCAGUCGGUUAAGCGUCUGACUUCGGCUCAGGUCAUGAUCUCACAGUCUGUGAGUUCGAGCCCCGCGUCGGGCU
rnacentral:tRNA from 1 species